ACUUCCUACGGGAGGCAGCAGUGGGGAAUAUUGGACAAUGGGCGAAAGCCUGAUCCAGCCAUGCCGCGUGUGUGAAGAAGGUCUUCGGAUUGUAAAGCACUUUAAGUUGGGAGGAAGGGCAGUUACCUAAUACGUGAUUGUUUGACGUACCGACAGAAUAGACCCCGGGCC
rnacentral:rRNA from 1 species